AUUUCCCAUGAAGUGAUGGGACCAGAUGCCAUGGUCUUAGUUUUCUGAAUAUUAUUAACUUGGUCUAUUUUUAAGGCUUUACACACAGUGAGAGAAUGAAUAGUGGUCCUCCAGAAAAUAUUCAUGUGAUCCCUGGAACCACCUUAUAGGGCAAAAAUGGACUUAAUGGGUGUUACUCAGUUAAUCUUGUGAUUGGGAAAAUAUCCUGGGUUAUCUAGGUGGACCCCAGAUACAGUUGCGAGUGUCUUUGUAAAAGAGAUUUCAGACAGAAGAGAAGGCAGUAUGACAACAGAGAUGAGAGCGCUGUGGCCCCAGGCCAAGGAACGCUGGCAGCCACCAGGAGCUCAAAGAACAAGAAUGGAUUCUGCCCUAGAGCAGUGUGGCCCUGCGGACACCCUGGUUUCAGUUCAGUGAAACUGAUUUUGGACUUCCGGCCUUCAGAGCUAUCAGAAAGUAAGUUUCUAUUGUUUUAAGUCACUAAGUCUGUGGCAAUUUGUUAUGACAGCCACAGGAAACCAAUUCCCCUUUCGCUAUUCUGUACAAGGCAGCCUAUAAUUGAAUUAUUUUUUGAGUAUGGCAAAGUUCAGCAUGACCUCACAUGCACUUAAACUUUGGCCAAAGGCAUUUCAGGCAGAGUGAAGAUUUAGUCAAGAAAUGGGGCAUUUGUGAUGGAAAAUCCAUGUGAUCAUGAUAAAAAUCACCAGGCCAAAGCCUGCUCCUCAUGAGGUAAAAAAAUUGAGAUGCCUCUGCCAGUACCAAGAAGAAAUAUCAAAAGAAAGAUGCUAUUUCCAAAUGUUUUCAUUUAUUUCAAGGAGACAGUGCACAAAUUCUGUUGGGGGUUGAGAGCUUGUAUUAGUAGACCCUUCUAGACUACCUUCCUGCUAGCAGGAACUGUGCCAACCAAAGGAGGGGAGGAAGUUCAAGGUGAGAAGAGGCUGUGGGCAAAUAUAACAGCUGCCUUUCAAGGGCAAGGAACAUGACUCGGUUUCUCCAGUUUUUUUUUCCUUUUGCUAGCACUAGGAUAUACCAUGAAUCUGCAAGCGCUGUCCUAGAGGCCACGGAGGGUUUGCCAGAUAAGGUUUCUGUAGCAUAGAGGGGAGGAAGAGCACAAUUGAAACGGACUCCUGGAUACCAUUUAGGGGACUAGAAACUAAAGCAAAGGGGGACCAGAUAAAGCAGGUUGGAGUCUCUGCACAGAUGACCUAUGGUCUUAAUUAUCCAUGAAGCCGCUAUAUUAAGCAAAUUUUACCCAUUUUAAUUCUCAGAAUACCUGCUUUACAUCAAGAACUGGAAGGGUCAGAUUUUGCCCUACUUACUAAGUAGUUUCAUGAAUGCUAGCAAAAGAUGUGAGACCCUAGGUCAGAGAUGAUGGAUCUACUUACCUAGAACAUGCUAAGCAGCACGAGCUUCAUGUUCACUUUGCACCCACACCUCAUGGAGGUAACCUGGAGUAACCUAGGUAGCGGUCACACGCAGAGUGGGUCUGUGUCACAGCUGAGGAACUCUGAGCUUAGGAAACCCAAAUCUUAAUGAACUGGCCACUUGAAAACCUGCCUAACUUUUGCAUCAGUGGGAAACAUUAUUGUUGUGCUGGUUUAUAAACAGACCUGUCUAAUCUUAUGCUCCAGAAAGAGACAGUUGCUCUCUUCUAAAGCUGUUCACUUUACACAGACAUCUUUGGAAGGGCAGUCUGGAAGAAAAGUGAUC
rnacentral:lncRNA from 1 species